rnacentral:tRNA from 1 species
GCUUGGUUGGCUCAGCCAGUAGAACGUGAGGCUUUUGAUCUCAGAGUCAUGAGUUCGAGCCCCAUGCUGGGUA